AGUGAGGCUAGAGUCACACCUGGAUAUUACCUGUUGUCCUGGUGUGCUAGAGCACUCACAGAAAAAGUCUUUGCUUAUUCAUUGGCUGCAGUCUGUUUAUGGUCCAGUCAAUCACCAGCUCAGAUACACGA